rnacentral:lncRNA from 1 species
AAUCUUCUCUUUUCUUUUCUUGGACUUUCUAGAUUUCUGAAGUUUUUGAAGUAUGAAUUAGCUGCCAAAUAAUGUUCAAUUUUAUCAUAUCUUUGUAAUAUCAAUGUUCCCAUGUUUUAGUCUAGUCACUCUGGUACAUUUAAGAUGCACCAAUAUGGCUUGUCUUGUUCUGAAUUUAUAAUUCGUUCUUUUUUCCUAGUUCUCGGGAAAAUGGAGACACUGUUUUUUCCAAUGAAACUGUGUCAUUUUUUAAGGAGGGAAAGGGAAGGGGUAAGAACUGAAAAUUUAUAUAUAAGGACACUCGGUAGUUCUUUUUUCUUAAAUGUUGUUUUCCAUAAAGGUUGCUGUUGAGUUUGAUGAGUAAAAUGUGCGGGCCCUGCAAACUAAAUGGAGGAAUUUUGGAUGUGAGAUCUAGUUCCUUGGAAAUGUUGGGUAGCAAUGAGGAGAUUCUGCACUAGUUUCUUCUGAGGAAAGUGGACUGCGCCGUUUUUCUUCAGAUGGAUAUCUUUGUGGUGCAUUUUAGGAUUUUUAAUAAAGUUUGGCGAUCCCUUCUGUCCUCCCUUCACCAACUCCGUCUGUUGCUACCAACACCUCAUCUUGCAUGAAUUGCAACACCGUAUGGACUUCUAAUGCUAACAAAACCCUCCACUCCCUUGGUUAUAGAGAUAAUCAAGGCCUAUAGGUAUAUUUCCCAUAUAAGACGAAAGACUUAAGAUGAGCUUGUCUAUAGAUGCAGGGGUCUCACCACCUCACCCACGAUCCUCAAGGUGUGUGGUGGGGGUCACAUAUUCUUUCUUUUAAAUGAUUGACCCUGUAUCUCAAAAUUUUUGUGUGUACAGAUCUCUUUUUGCCCCC